UACGGAGGGUGCAAGCGUUGCUCGGAAUCACUGGGCGUAAAGGGUGCGUAGGCGGGUUUUUAAGUCAGGGGUGAAAUCCUGGAGCUCAACUCCAGAACUGCCUUUGAUACUGAAGAUCUUGAGUCCGGGAGAGGUGAGUGGAACUGCGAGUGUAGAGGUGAAAUUCGUAGAUAUUCGCAAGAACACCAGUGGCGAAGGCGGCUCACUGGCCCGGUACUGACGCUGAGACGCGAAAGCGUGGGGAGCGAACAGG
rnacentral:rRNA from 1 species